UUGUCCAAAAUUCAAAUCUUCUCAAAAUUACUUACCAUGUGUCCAUCAAUGAUAGGGAGCCUGAUUUAUAUGCUAUAUCAUGUUCAAUGGUAGUGGGUCUGAAAAUAACACAUAUGGAGUUCUUUUAUUUAGGAUGGCAAUGGGUCAGACAUAGACCGAGUUGGUCAACAUCCAUAUCUACCUAAUUAAAAAUUUUAUAUCCAUCGAUGCCCCAUACCCACCUCCGAUUAGAUCAGAUCGAAAAAAGUGGAGAUAC
rnacentral:lncRNA from 1 species